rnacentral:rRNA from 1 species
UACGUAGGGUGCAAGCGUUAAUCGGAAUUACUGGGCGUAAAGCGUGCGCAGGCGGUUGUGCAAGACAGAUGUGAAAUCCCCGGCUUAACCUGGGAACUGCAUUUGUGACUGCACGGCUGGAGUGCGGCAGAGGGGGAUGGAAUUCCGCGUGUAGCAGUGAAAUGCGUAGAUAUCUGGAGGAACACCGGUGGCGAAGGCGGCAUCCUGGACCAACACUGACGCUGAGGAGCGAAAGCCAGGGGAGCAAACGGG